rnacentral:tRNA from 1 species
UAAAAACAAAGCGAUCAUAUUGCAUUCAGUUUCGACCUGAACUUAGAAUAAUUUCUGUUUUUAA